rnacentral:rRNA from 1 species
GACGAACGCUGGCGGCGUGCUUAACACAUGCAAGUCGAACGGAAAGGCCCUGCUUUUGUGGGGUGCUCGAGUGGCGAACGGGUGAGUAACACGUGAGUAACCUGCCCUUGACUUUGGGAUAACUUCAGGAAACUGGGGCUAAUACCGGAUAGGAGCUCCUGCUGCAUGGUGGGGGUUGGAAAGUUUCGGCGGUUGGGGAUGGACUCGCGGCUUAUCAGCUUGUUGGUGGGGUAGUGGCUUACCAAGGCUUUGACGGGUAGCCGGCCUGAGAGGGUGACCGGCCACAUUGGGCCUGAGGUACGGCCCAGACUCCUACGGGAGGCAGCGGUGGGGAAUAUUGCACAAUGGGCGGAAGCCUGAUGCAGCGACGCCGCGUGCGGGAUGACGGCCUUCGGGUUGUAAACCGCUUUCGCCUGUGACGAAGCGUGAGUGACGGUACUGGGUAAAGAAGCACCGGCUAACUACGUG